rnacentral:lncRNA from 1 species
AAGGCAAAAAUCUGAGUUGAGUCCCCAUUUGAUUCAGGUUCUUGUAGGCAGAGCUAACUGUGAAGAUACCUUUGCUGUGAUGAAUCCACGUAAGAGUGUCUUCUCCCUCUUUCAAUCCUCCAAAAUGGUCCAGGGUGCCAUAAAAUUCAGCUAGUCUAUCCACCUCCCAGUCUUGUAUCAUCCUUCUGUAUGUUAAGUUCCAUCCAUGGAUGGACCAAACUUCUUGCACAGUGGCCUCAUGUUGCUGAUUCAACAAGUAAAUGUCUGGAAAGAGCUGUUUGAGGCUGCCAUUUCCUAACCAAUUAUCGUCCCAAAAUAAAAAAUUUCUUCCAUUGUUUAUAUUGAAUCUAGUUCUUUGAAAGAAACAAUGCCACAAAUUUCUGAUUGAUCUNNNNN